CUACGUAGGUGGCAAGCGUUAUCCGGAUUUACUGGGUGUAAAGGGCGCGUAGGCGGGGGUGCAAGUCAGAUGUGAAAUCUAUGGGCUUAACUCAUAAACUGCAUUUGAAACUGUAUCUCUUGAGUGCUGGAGAGGUAGACGGAAUUCCUUGUGUAGCGGUGAAAUGCGUAGAUAUAAGGAAGAACACCAGUGGCGAAGGCGGUCUACUGGACAGUAACUGACGCUGAGGCGCGAAAGCGUGGGGAGCAAACAGGAUUAGAUACCCUGGUAGUCCACGCUGUAAACGAUGAAUACUAGGUGUGGGGGGACUGACCCCCUCCGUGCCGCAGUUAACACAAUAAGUAUUCUACCUGGGGAGUACGGCCGCAAGGUUGAAACUCAAAUGAAUUGACGGGG
rnacentral:rRNA from 1 species